rnacentral:rRNA from 1 species
UACAGAGGGUGCGAGCGUUGUUCGGAAUUACUGGGCGUAAAGCGCGCGCAGGCGGCUUCUUAAGUCCAUCGGUGAAAUGCCGGGGCUCAACCCCGAGUGUGCCGAGGAUACUGGGGGGCUGGAGACGAGUAGAGGCAAGCGGAAUUCCGGGUGUAGCGGUGGAAUGCGUAGAGAUCCGGAAGAACGACCGGAGGCGAAGGGCGGCUUGCUGGGCUUGGUCUGACGCUGAGGCGCGAAAGCGUGGGGAGCGAACAGG